rnacentral:lncRNA from 1 species
AGCCAAGAAAAUCAAUCUAAACAUUUGUGGGAAGUUGUAUUCAUCAAUAAUGAAAUGCUGACUAAGGAACAAGAUGUCAUCAGCCUCAGGAGAGAGUGGUAUGUACCUUGAAAUAACUCACCGAGACACAAACUUGCUGACUUCUUGUCCUCCAUCUCAGAGAAGAUAUGGAAGAUAUGAAGGAUGGAGAAAAAGAGGAAGAGGAAAUGUGAUGGUGGAGUGGGUAACAUAAAAAAGGGAAGGCAAAUAAGUGUAUGUGUUUUCAGCGGCUUCUCACUUUCUUUUGGCCCAUCAAGGAAACCAACACAUCCGAGGAGAGUGCUGAUAGGCUGCUCUUAGCCGGGACCACACUUGUGCUUUGAAAACAACCCCCAAAAUCCCUGCAGGCAAUUGAAGGAUGUCCCGAGAACAUCCUCCCAGGGAGCAGAUACCCAUUCUGUAGAAGCUCUAAGCCUGCUGGGCUAAGCCCUCCAUAGGCCACUUUAAUGAGGAGGAGAGGCUGUAGGUGGUGGUAGGACCACCAUGUUGCAUGACUUUUCUGUGUGCCCCGUCUUUUGACUCUGUCUC